rnacentral:rRNA from 1 species
UACGAAGGGGGCUAGCGUUGUUCGGAAUCACUGGGCGUAAAGCGCACGUAGGCGGAUCUUUAAGUCAGGGGUGAAAUCCCGAGGCUCAACCUCGGAACUGCCUUUGAUACUGGAGAUCUUGAGUCCGGAAGAGGUGAGUGGAACUGCGAGUGUAGAGGUGAAAUUCGUAGAUAUUCGCAAGAACACCAGUGGCGAAGGCGGCUCACUGGCCCGAUACUGACGCUGAGGUGCGAAAGCGUGGGGAGCAAACAGG